ensembl:snRNA U2 U2 spliceosomal RNA
AUUCCUCCUCUGCCUUUUGGCUAAGAUCAAGUGUAGUAUCUGUUCUCAUCAGUUUAAUAUCUGAUAGUUCUGUUUUUUCCAGCAUGGCCGCAUGGUCCCGACCCCCU